UACGUAGGGUGCGAGCGUUAAUCGGAAUUACUGGGCGUAAAGCGUGCGCAGGCGGUUCGCCAAGUCAGGUGUGAAAUCCCCGGGCUUAACCUGGGAAUUGCGCUUGAAACUAGCGGGCUUGAGUGCGGCAGAGGGGGGUGGAAUUCCACGUGUAGCAGUGAAAUGCGUAGAGAUGUGGAGGAACACCGAUGGCGAAGGCGGCAUCCUGGACCAACACUGACGCUGAGGAGCGAAAGCCAGGGGAGCAAACGGG
rnacentral:rRNA from 1 species